UACGGAGGGUGCGAGCGUUAAUCGGAAUCACUGGGCGUAAAGCGCGCGUAGGCGGCUUUUCAAGUCAGGGGUGAGAUCCCACGGCCCAACCGUGGAACUGCCUUUGAAACUGUAGAGCUUGAGUGUCGGAGAGGGUGGCGGAAUUCCAGGUGUAGGAGUGAAAUCCGUAGAUAUCUGGAGGAACACCGGUGGCGAAGGCGGCCACCUGGACGACAACUGACGCUGAGGUGCGAAAGCGUGGGUAGCAAACAGG
rnacentral:rRNA from 1 species